rnacentral:rRNA from 1 species
CAAUGAUGUAACGGGGCGGUGGUACUCGGUGAAAGCCGAGUAUCCUGUUUUCCGAUUAUUGGGAUACUGUUACUUUGAGAAAAUUAGAGUGUUUGAAGCAGGCUAAUUGCCUUGAAUACUGCAGCAUGGAAUAACAAUAUAGGAUUUCGGUUCUAUUUUGUUGGUUUCUAGGACUGAAAUAAUGAUUAAUAGGGACAGUUGGGGGCAUUCGUAUUUAACU